UACGUAGGGGGCAAGCGGUGUCCGGAAUUAUUGGGCGUAAAGCGCGCGUAGGCGGUUCCUUAAGUCUGAUGUGAAAUCUUGCGGCUCAACCGCAAGCGGUCAUUGGAAACUGGGGAACUUGAGUACAGAAGAGGGGAGCGGAAUUCCACGUGUAGCGGUGAAAUGCGUAGAGAUGUGGAGGAACACCAGUGGCGGAGGCGACUCUUUGGCCUAUAACUGACGUUGAGGCGCGAAAGCGUGGGGAGCAAACAGG
rnacentral:misc_RNA from 1 species